CGAAGUCUGGUGCCAGCAGCCGCGGUAAUUCCAGCUCAAUAGCGUAUAUUAAAGUUGUUGCAGUUAAAAAGCUCGUAGUUGAAGUUCUGAUUGUUCGGGCCUCGCGCUUUAUAGCCGAGGAACCGACAGUCAUCCGCUUGCAAAUAUAUGUUCGCCUUUAACCGGGUGGCUAUAUGAGUAAGCAAUUUACCUUGAGAAAAACAGAGUGUUCCAGGCAGGUUUGUCCGGAAUGCAUUAGCAUGGAAUAAUAGAAUAUGACUGAAGUCGAUUUAUUGGUUUAAGGCUUUAGUAAUGAUUAAUAGGAACAGUCGGGGGCAUUGGUACUUGACAGUCAGAGGUGAAAUUCUAGGAUUUGUCAAAGACUAACAAAUGCGAAAGCAUUUGCCAAGGAUGUUUUCAUUAAUCAAGAACGAAAGUUAGGGGAUCAAAGACGAUCAGAUACCGUCCUAGUCUUAACUAUAAACUAUACCGACUCGGAUUCAGAUGAAUCAAAAAGUUCAUUUGGGACCGUAGGAGAAAUCAAAGUUUUUGGGUUCUGG
rnacentral:rRNA from 1 species